CCUUUCCUCUGUAAGAAAUGCCUAAUGCCUGCAGCUCUGUUACACAAGCCUGACCCACAAAAGUUCUGGAAGUUCACAGAGGCUGGAAAUCAACGGCAGGGCAGGGCGGGUGGAGCCAGGGCAUACAUGACAAUGCACAGCUAAGACUUUGUGACAGAACACUCAGAUGAAUACAGUUGCACAGCAGCACCCGAGCUCCGUCCUCCCUUAUGGAUUCUGAAGCUUAGUGGACCGGCAGACAGCCUGUUAAUUGACCACUACCUAAAAAGUUUGACAAAUUGCAGUUGUGAGAGAAGAGUAAGAAUAUUUAUUGCAUAGCAAGAUGAAGAGCAGCUCGGUGUCUCAACAAAGCAAAGGUUCAGCAGCUACUCCAAAUUCUCCACCAAGGAAGAAAGGCAGACUGCAAAAUUGCAGAUUUAAUGAUAAUUAGCUUGCAGUUCCUGCCUUUACAUCCUGGUUGGCUCGCACAUCAGAUGAAAACUCUGCACGAUGCAUCGUUUGUGAAAGUACAUUUGGUAUAAAAUACGAUGGUGUUGAUGCAGUAAAGCAGCAUGCCACUGGAAAGAGACAUCUAUCUGCUAUGCAGAGUAAGAAGAAGGGCAGCCUCAUAACAAAGUUCUUCUGUAGUGCACAGAAUAAGGAGGAAGAUUUUCCACAAGACUCUCCAUUUUUUAAGCAAGUUUAAUGUAAAAUUAUUCAGUGAUUCCCAAAUAACUAGUAAACUGCAUCUCGGCAGAACAAAAAAUGGAGAGUCUUGUGGAAAAUGUGCUGGCACCCUAUAGGCAAAGGAUCCCCCUACCCCCUUCGAUUGUGUUUACCACCAACCUAAUAAAAACACAGAGACUUGUUAUGGUGGUAAAAUCUGUGAAAGUCACAUUUUUUAUUUAACAAUCUUAUAUUUAAAGGACUAGGUAACACCCUGACCACCAGCUGCGGCUCCUAUACUCGUAGAAAACAUGUGACUGCUGCCCAUACCGUAACCAAUCGUUUUAAGGGAGCAGGGAUCAUGGGGCAGAGCGCCCUCUGUUGACCAACGAGUAGCCCAUCCUCCUGCCUCACCAUUAUGUGCAAUAAUGGCGCUAACUCAGCCUCUCGCAUGAUUCAGACAAGACCGUGCAGUCAAAGUCUGCUCUACACUCGUGACUUCCCAAGGGUAGGCCUGCACUUCACUGAAACCGUCCAUCUUCCUGGAGCCGCACUGAUGCCAAAACCUAGGAGCCGCAGCUGUGUCAUGGGAGUACCUAUUUGACUAACACAGAUAAUGGUACCCCAGAGGAAGGCAAAAAACUCAGGUUCUUUCAGCCAAUUAGCAGCCUGAUGAAAAAUUCCUUCCUGACCCCUUCAAGGCGAUCAGUUGCGAGAACCCUGGAGCACCGUCUUUCGUAAACUUCUUCCUUUUGACUUGAGAUGGGAGAGUGGGAGAAAGAAAAAAACAAAGUUAUUUGUUGCUGCCGCUUUGCCUCUCCUUAAGAACCCCUUCCUGGCUUACCAGCCCCCUGGCUCAGCCCUCCAGCUGCCCCCUUUUUUCUGCCGAAAGUCCCUGGCCAUUGUUCUACCCACUGCAGGAGGGGGGCUGAGAGGGACCGAAACUGCACGUCCACAUCUAUGGGGGAGGAGGGACCGUGCCUAUCCUCACAUCGGCUCUAUGCAGGCCUUGUUCCCCCUUCUGUUCACUGUGCUAUACAGGAAAUGCAAGAAUAUUCUUGUACGUUUGCCAUUGCCACAGAUGCCAGGAGAAAGGGAUGGUCCUCAAAUAACAGAUGCUUUAGAUAUUCCCCAACCGUCCAAAAUACCAGACGGGCUAGACCCACCUGGCAACAGCAAGAAACCCAACACUGCAAAGACGAGCUCGGCCUGACUCCAAUCCACAGCCCAAACCACCAAGGAUAGGAGGCAGAAUCUUUGGGAACAUGGGAAGCACACGUGAAAGACACUUGGGUAUUGACCAUUCUGGGUCAGGGCUACAGAAUUCCCUUCUCAUCCCUUCCACCAAGAAGGUUCCUUGCAUCUUCCACUACCCCUCACAAGGAGACUUUACUCCAGCGGGCAGUAGACACACUUCUGACAAUAGGAGUGGUGGAGCAGGUCCCAGUAUCCCAGCCAUACAGGGAUUUCUACUCAAAUCUCUUUAAACCUUUAAACCCAAGGGUCCUGAACCAAAAAUUCCAGAUGGAGUCCCGGCCAUGGAACCGGAAAUUUUCAUGAUCUCAAUAGACUUACAGUACGUGUACCUACAUAUACCCAUCUGCUUAUGUCCUCGAGUCUUUCUCAGGUUUGCCAUCAACAACUGUCACUAUCAAUUUACAGAUUUUGUACUGCGCCACACGUUUUCACCAAGAUGCAACAAUUUAUUUUUUGUGGAUGAAGAGUUAUCUUCUAUGAAAGAAAUGCUGUCUUCCAUCUCUGAAAUAGUCAUUUUAUGAGAAGCCUGACCCACAAAAGUUCUGAAAGUUCUUGCUGGAUAUCAACUGCGGGGCGGGGUGGAGCCAGGGCUUACCUGACAAUGCACAGCUAAGACUUCAUGACAGAACACUCAGAUGAAUACAGUCUCUAGUACAGAAGCCUGACCUACAAAAGUUCUGAAAGUUCACAGAGGCUGGAAAUCAAGGGCAGGGCGGGGUGGAGCCAGGGCAUACCUGGCAAUGCACAGCUAAGACUUCAUGACAGAACACUCAGAUGAAUACAGUCUCUAGUACAGAAGCCUGACCUACAAAAGUUCUGGAAGUUCACAGAGGCUGGAAAUCCACUGCAGGGCAGAGCGGGGUGGAGCCACGGCAUACCUGGCAAUGCACAGCUAAGACUUCAUGACAGAACACUCAGAUGAAUACAGGUAACAUCACAACCAACACACUACACAUGUUCAAACAACCUAUGAGACAUUUCUUGCAAUGUAGGUUGGUUGA